UACGUAGGGGGCUAGCGUUGUCCGGAAUCAUUGGGCGUAAAGAGCGUGUAGGCGGCCCGGUAAGUCCGCUGUAAAAGUCAAAGGCUCAACCUUUGAAUGCCGGUGGAUACUGUCGGGCUAGAGUCCGGAAGGGGCGAGUGGAAUUCCUGGUGUAGCGGUGAAAUGCGCAGAUAUCAGGAGGAACACCAAUGGCGAAGGCAGCUCGCUGGGACGUGACUGACGCUGAGACGCGAAAGCGUGGGGAGCAAACAGG
rnacentral:rRNA from 1 species